UUUUUUUUUUUUUUAAGCUGGCUUUUAAUAGUUCCUUCUCAAAUCUCAAGUGUCCUGACAACUUCAACAUGGCGAGUGCUGACAGGGGCUGUCAUGGGUCCCAUUCGUCUGUCAGCUCGCCUGGCCAGCCCCGCCCCAUGGCUCUGCGCUGUGCUCCAGGAGGCCAGGGACAGGCAGUGGUUCACAUCUGCAUCUCACCCCCACCCUACGACCCCGCCUGGUGCUUUGGCCAUGGAAGGUGCUCGGUCAGGUUGAGACAGAUGGGAUCCGAAGACAUCCAUUCGUCCGUGAGGCAUGCUCCCCAGAGCCAGGCUGGGCAGCCUUCCUGCCCUGUGUGAGGUUGUCUUUGGUGCCAGCCUCAUGGCCAACCCCAUGGAAUCCGUGACCUGCCCGAGCCCUUCCGGCCGUGCAGUCCGUGACCCUGCCUGAGCCCAGGACUCACCUCCGAUGCAGCCAGCCCACAACUUCCCAGGUUUUAUUUUCAUUAACCCAACUGGAAAAUUGGACUUCAUUCAGGAUUGUGCUGAAAACCAGAUGCUGGAGCUGGGCUCUGGUUUCCUAGAUAAACACACUGGAAUAAUAUGCGUCUACCCGUGAAAUGCUCUCUGUGGCGGCACGUGGCAGCUCUCCAGAAGAAAGAAAAACAGUGUCAAAGCUCCAUUUGAGUCUUCUCACUCCCCCUUCCUGGCCAGAGGCUGGUGAAAAUAGCCAAGUUUUUGGUUGGCCUCACUGCCGGCCAGCUCCCUCUCUGCUGGCUCUCCCUACCCUCUCCCCAUCUCUGGCCAGGAACAUAGCAGCUUCUAGAAAGGACUUCAAGCCUUCCCCAAUCCCCCUGUCUGCAUGGGGGCCCUCCCUCUGAGCUCCCACCACACCCUGUGGACCCCCAUCCUGGUAAGAAUGAGACUAUAAUGUGAUGGUGUGGCUCAUUGGCUUCUUCCAGAACCAUCUGGAAGCUUCUUGACCUGAAGGGGGGAGCCUUGUUCUCUCUGAAGACAGUUGUUCGUGAAGAUAAGUUGUUGGUGAAGACAGCUGUUCAUGUUGCUGAAUGAAUCAAUCAAAAGAAGUCACACCAGCCAUGUGUGAAGGAGGCUUGGGUUCUGGAAGGCUCUUGAGGUCUGCUUUUCUCUGCCUGAAUGUUUUCAGUCAUCCAGCAUUCACUGGGCUUUUGCUUUGCAGCAGACCCCAUGCUUGGUGUGGGGGUGGAGGGAUCAUGGCACAUCCCUGCCCUCAAAGAGCCCACCAUCUACUGGAGGAGAUGGACUCAAGGAAUACAUAUGGUGGCUGGAUGAGGUUUUCUUUCCUCUUUGUCCACUUCUUUCCUACCCAUACCCCCACCUCCUCUUAUGGGGAAGACUUGUCUCUAAGUAGCCCCAGUAGAGGGGCAGGAGCUCUGUUAGCACAAAACCCCCGGGCAAUGAAUUGUAGAAAGAGGAUGACUUACUUUACGGAUGUAAAGUCUGCUGAUUUUGAAAGAUGUUAAGACCUUGAGGACCUCAGGAUAUGAUGCCACAGCUCUGGAAUGGAGUUAGGACCCCAGGAAGGCCAAGGAGUAGAAAAGAGAAACAGGAGUUCCCGUCGUGGCUCAGCAAUUUGCGAACCCAACUAGCAUCCAUGAGGAUGCAGGUUCGAUCCCUGGCCUCGCUCAGUGGGUUAAGGAUCCAGUGUUGCCAAGAGCUGUGGUGUAAGUCUCAGACAUGGCACGGAUCUCAAAUUGCUGUGGCUCUGGCAUAGGCCGGCAGCUACAGUUCCAACUGGACCCCUAGCCUGGGAACCUCCAUAUGCUACAAGUACACCCCUCUCCAAAAAAAAGAGAGAAACGGGAUCAUAGGAAAGUGAAGAGAGCAAAGGGAACUCCAAUUUGCCCCUCUAAGGCUACUUCUAAAAGGACCAAUAAAUGAUUUGAUGAGCAACUCAAAUCUUUUGCUGAAUGCUCUGAACUCUACCGGUGGACAUAAACCCGCAAGAGUAAGAGGGGUUUCUGGUGGUGGGCUGUACCUACCGUGCACUCCACCCAGGUGUUGCAAGAAUAGUCCAAGAGUUUACGGAGAUAUUUCCAGUCUGGCAUAAUUGGGAAAGAACAAGGGCCUGUAGGAGCACAGAGGAAGGGGGAUUUUUUUUUUUUUAGGGGAGUCGUGUCCUCAUUCAGAAAUGUGUGUGGUCUGACAUUUGGGUUCAAGUCUUGCUGUUGUCCUCCUUGUUUAUAUCCUUGGCCCCUCUGGACCUCAACAGCUCAGGUGAGCAGUAAACAUCCCAUCACAUUGCACCCUGGGGAGUGAUGGGGGAGGAUGAGCAUGUGGGUUUGCAGAGCCGCCAGGGGAAUCACAAUUACAACCCCAGCUGUUGUUGUUGUCAGGGACAUUUCCCUUUGACCCACGCAUGUAACUGAAGUUCUGCUCCAGUCCACACGGUGUUUCUGUGUUCUGAGGACAGUCAGAUCCCAGAGAGGCAUUCAGCUGCUGCCCCCCUGUCCUGGCCCUCAGCCCCUGUCAUUAGCCAAGACAGAGGUCAGAUCUCCCUCCAGGAGAAUAGGGAGGGCAGAGCAGAUUUCUCAGUAACCUCGCAGUUUGAUAUAAAAGCAAGCAAAUACCAAAAAAGGCUUGACUUAGACAAUAAAAUGGAAGCAACAUAAAUGCAAAUUAGGUCAUUCUCCUUUUUAUGAGGAAAGGAAAUUAAGUGUUUAAAUUGAAAAGACUGAAACUAAACUUGGGAAAUCGACAUAAUUAUGGCGGCAGCUGUGAGGAUCACUUUUAUUUAUAAAUGACAGACAACAACGUUGUAUUUCAGACUUCUGUGUGACUGCUCUUUCAGGAACGACAGCAUUUGCUUUUGUUCUAAAUAAAUGAUUAUUCCUGUAGCGGGGACUCAGCUGAGAGCCAUGAGAUGCUAAGACUCCCAGAAUCUGGGGACUGAGUGUCCUGCUCUGAGGCAGGGAAUCGGGUGGGCACCAGAGCAGACUAAGUCACUUACGUUUCAUCUUCCAAACGCCUACGUAUAUCCUUUAUCUAAUUUCCUAGUGGCACUUUUACAUUUUUGUAGACUGAUGUUUGCUAUAUAUAUUUUAUGAUGUAGACUGGUGUUUGCUAUAUAUAUUUUAUGAAUCUCAUUUCUUUGGUAUAUAUAUGCUGCAAAACUUCCCCCCACCCCACCAUUUUUUGGCUGACUCUCUUCUCAAUUCAUGUGUGAGUUCACUGUUUGUCUGGGACCUGUUGGCUUUUCUCAAGGAAAGGAACUGUGAGACAAACACAGACAAGAAGGGGGAAAACUCAAAGAGGAAGGAUCAGAGAUGGAGAGAAGGAGGAGCAGAGGUUCAGAAAGGGAGAGUGAAGACUCAGAGAGGUGGCCAGGGACUGAGAAGAGUGUCACACAGAGAAAGACCAGAACUAAAGAGGGAGAGACAGAGAUUCGGAGUUCCUUUUGUUCAUGAUCUGUUUGUGGUGUCCUAGCUUGCACAAAAGUUUUCAGUGUUACAUAGUAAAUCUGCCAGCCUCUCCCAGGCUUCUAAUUUUUCGUCUUACUUAGAAUGGUCUUCCCCAUCCCAAGAUUUUUUUAAAAAUCUCUCAUAUGCAGUACUAUAUACAAUAGCCAAGACAUGGAAACAAUCUAAAUGUCCAUCGACAGAGGAGUGGAUAAAGAAGAGGUGGUACAUAUACACAAUCAAAUAUUACUCAACCAUUAAAAGGAAAGAAAUAACAGCAUUUGCAGCAACAUGAAUGGACCUAGAAAUGAUCAUGCUAAGUGAAGACAAUAAGACAGCGAGACACCAACAUCAUAUGCUACCACUUACAUGUAGACUCUUAAAGGACACAAUAAGGAGUUCCUGUCAUGGCUCAGUGGUUAACGAAUCCAACUAGGAACCAUGAAGUUGCAGGUUUGAUCCCUGGCCUCACUCAGUGGGUUAAGGAUCUGGUGUUGCCAUGAGCUGUGGUGUAGGCUGCAGAUGUGGCUUGGAUCCCACAUUGCUGUGGCUGGAAUAUAGGCCGGUGGCUACAGCUACAAUUAGAACCCUAUCCUGGGAACCUCCGCCCUGGAAAAGACAGAAAGACAAUAAAUAAAUAAAUAAAUACAUAAAUAAAUACAUAAAUAAAUACAUAAAUAAAUACAUAAAUAAAUACAUAAAUAAAUAAAUAAAUACAUAAAUAAAUGAAAUAAUUAACUUCUUUGCAGAACAGAUACUGACUCACAAACUUUGAAAAACUUACGGUUUACAAAUGAGAGAGGUUGGAGGGUGUGGGGAUGUGCUGGGGGUUCAGGAUGGAAAUGCUAUAAAAUCGGGUUUUGAUGAUCGUUGUACAACUAAAAAUGUAAUAAACUUCACUGAAUAAUUUAAAAAGCACCUCAUAUAUUUUGUUCUAAAAUGUCUAAGUUUUGUUCUUUUGCAUUACUUCCACAAUUGAAUUUUAUUUUUGUAUAUGUGUGGGAUAGGGAUCUAAAUUAAUUCUCUCCCAAAUGGAUAUCUAACAAUACCACUUAUUCUAUAACUCACCCAAUUCCCCCUCCCUUUAUCCUCUCAUUUAAAAUACUAUAUUCAUCAUAUGCUAAACUCAUGCAUAUAAAUGACUCUCUUUCUGGACGCUCUAUUCUGUUCCACCGAAUUAUUCGCCUAUCCCUGUGCCAAAACCACAAUGUUUUAAUCACUACAGCUCUAUAGUAUGUUUUGACACUUGAUAGGACAAGGCAAAUUCUUCGCCAUUGCUCUUUUUCAAAAUGUUCUUGGCUAAGUUAGUGUCUUUUCUCUUCCAGAUGAACCCAAGAGUCAGUAGUGAAGUUUCAUAAAAAGUUCAGAACACAUCAAAUACUCUGUUUCUAAAUGUUCCUCUUUUUCCAAUUACUGAUGUGUUUUUCUUCCUCACCACUCCCACCCCUGGAAGUGGCACAUGUGGUCAUCAGCAAGGCAUUCCCCAAAUUCUAAGAAGUCAGCUAUUAAAAUCCUCACAUUCUAAAUAAAACUAGAAACAUAUAAAAAGCUAUAAUCAUAGACUAUUUCUGGGAUCAGGAAUAGAAAGAGCAAAAUCUAACUGAGUAGGCUGAACAAACAUUUUUUAAAAUAAAAAGAAUGGAUCCAUCAUAAUGGGUAUUGGUCAGUGAUCCAAGUACAGUAAAAAAGAAUGAGUAUGAUCAGAAGCAGAGAUGGUACCCAGUUUACAAAUGGCCAGAUAAAAGAUGGACAGAGGGUGCGGCAUAUGCUACCUGUGCCCCUCUUUAUAUCCCCUCAGUACUAUCCAUUUUGGUGCCCACCAGACCAUCUUCCAAAUGCCUCACCUGUGUCGAUUGGCCUGAGGACUUUCUCUGGCCACCAGCCACAUUCUGGCAUGUCCACAGUAGACUGGAUUUGUCAGAAAUUUGACUACUCAACUCCACCCAUGGUCUGGAACAUCACUCAACCAAUAACACAUGAGAACUGACGGAUAAGGAGCCUGGAUCUCUUGCCCAUGGGGUGGGUUAACACUGAUACGCACAUCAUACACUGCCUCUCAGAGUCCCCCAUGUGAAUAAGUUCUAGUUGCUUGUUUGAAAGUUGAACUUGUUUGAAAACACACCUAUAUUGGUUUCCUUCCCUUUCCCUUUCACUUCCCCACUCUUCUACCACUGUUUCCUAUGACCACCUUCCAAAUGAACUGCUACUUUCACUCAAAUCCUUGUUUCAGGGUUUCCUUUUGGAGGGAUCCAAACAAAGAAAGCCAGCUUCUUGGUUCGAGGCCUGAACUUAUCUAGCUUCAGUGGCAGUUCUUUCCCCAUUCUAGACAUGAGGGGAACAGCUGAUCAGGACCUGUUGCCAUCAAACCCCACCUUCAUAAAGCUAUCUCCCCUUAUUCUGCGUCCAAGAUAACCAAAUAACUUUCUGAUGAUGACUGGGCUUCCUGAUGGGUUUUCUAUAGAAAAAGAGAAGAUACUGAUUAGGAGCAGGAAGUGAUCAGUCCCCAAGGAGUUUUAUUUUAUCAUUGCCAGUGAACACCUGGAGAAUAGGUGAAACUUACUUUCACCUACAGUGAGACCAUAUUCUAAAUGAGAUGGAGGCCACCCUCAGUAUUGACAAAAAUGUAUUUCCAAGCUCAUCAGGCUGGGAACCAGAUUCUGGGAAAUGCCUUCUCCAAGUAAAGGCUGCUUUAUAAGGACCUAGUAGAAGCCAACCAACCUCUCCCAACAGCACCUGACCUGAUCAGACAUCUUCUUACAGGCUUCAUUGGUAGUGUUCCAUUUCUAUUAAGGGAAGCAAUAAAUGGAAUCACAUUUUUUUUCAAAGCUUUCUGUUCCCUCCUAGCAGGAAAAUCUCUGUGCAUACUUGAGUAUCUUUGUUCCCAGAGUGUUCACAAUUCCAGGACCUCCUUUUCCAGUUAGACUUCUCUCUUGUACCUGAGUCAUUCUAGACUGCUGAUUAGGACCAUAAUCAUAACUCUGGAUUUUCUGGGACAUCUCAGAUUUCAAACAUUCUGAAAGAUAGCCUAAAAACAUUAAAAUAUCCUUGAAAUGCUAGGAUUUCAGUGUCCAACUAACCUCUCCCAUAUUGCGUUAGCACUGGAAAGUAGCCCAAAACAAUUUUUGUAAAAUGAUGUAUCCUUGAUUUUGGUUUGGAUCUGAAAAUCCUGUCAUAGAAGAUUCCUGAGCUAUUACACACACAAACAUCUCUGAACUGUUUCUAACUCAAUCACUUAGGCUGUUAUAAUUAGCCAAAGGAACGCUUUAUGCAGACUAAUUUAACAUUCCUUUUAAUAUAUCAUUUUGUGUAACUUAAAGAAUAAAACCUCUUCAGCCAAAUCUCUAUUACAACAAAGUGAAUGUCUUAAGAAAGAAAAAAGGAAUAACAAGAAAAAGACAAGGCAUCAUUCAUAGAAUACCAGUGACCCCAUGGCCCUGUUGAGAUGGGGAGCUCUUGUGAUUGGUGUGGAGCUGUCCACCAGGCAGGUGCUGACAAUAUCCUGGAGUUGGACAGGGGCUGCCCUCCUCAAGAGCUGCGAAAGAGCCCCCUCCACACCUACCACCAUCCCAUCCCCAAACAAAUGUUAAAAAAAAAAAAAAAAAA
rnacentral:lncRNA from 1 species